rnacentral:rRNA from 1 species
UAUGUGAUCGUCUCUCGCAUAUCAAUAAGCGGAGGAAAAGAAACUAACAAGGAUUCCCCUAGUAACGGCGAGUGAAGCGGGAAGAGCUCAAAUUUGAAAUCUUAAGGGUUUCCCUUUACGAAUUGUAGUUUAAAGAAGUGUUUUCUGUUGAGGUUUUGGUAAAAGUUCUUUGGAAUAGGACAUCAUAGAGGGUGAGAAUCCCGUAUUUGACCUUUACUUUCAACUUUGUGAUACACUUUCAAAGAGUCGGAUUGUUUGGGAAUGCAGUCCAAAAUGGGUGGUAAAUUUCAUCUAAAGCUAAAUAUUGGCGAGAGACCGAUAGCGAACAAGUACCAGUGAGGGAAAGAUGAAAAGAACUUUGAAAAGAGAGUUAAACAGUACGUGAAAUUGUCAAAAGGGAAGCGUUUGACACCAGUGUUGUUUUUCUGAAAAUCAAUUAAAGAACUGUUUAUGCUAAGUUGUUUAGACUUUAUCAGCUAACUGUUUAGUUUUGAGCUUUUCUUUAAUGCACUUUUCAGUUAACAAGUCGACAUCAAUUUCUUUUGCUGUAAAAAAGCUUGAGGAAGGUGGCUUGAGAUUCGUCUUAAGUGUUUAUAGCCUCUUGCCUAUGCAGUCGGAGAGAUUGAGGUCUGCAGCGUAGAUCCUUCGGGGCUAAAUGCAUUUGUGCUAAGUUAUAGCAUUUUAUAGACAACUUGUUGACUAUGAUUUGUCUUGUAGCUUACUCGCUUAUGUUAUUUUACCUACGCUUAGGAUGUUGAAGACUCUACAGAGAUA